GAUGAACGCUGGCGGCGUGCCUAAUACAUGCAAGUCGAGCGAAUGGAUUAAGAGCUUGCUCUUAUGAAGUUAGCGGCGGACGGGUGAGUAACACGUGAGUAACCUGCCCAUAAGACUGGGAUAACUCCGGGAAACCGGGGCUAAUACCGGAUAACAUUUUGUACCGCAUGGUUCGAAAUUGAAAGGCGGCUUCGGCUGUCACUAAUGGAUGGACCCGCGUCGCAUUAGCUAGUUGGUGAGGUAACGGCUCACCAAGGCAACGAUGCGUAGCCGACCUGAGAGGGUGAUCGGCCACACUGGGACUGAGACACGGCCCAGACUCCUACGGGAGGCAGCAGUAGGGAAUCUUCCGCAAUGGACGAAAGUCUGACGGAGCAACGCCGCGUGAGUGAUGAAGGCUUUCGGGUCGUAAAACUCUGUUGUUAGGGAAGAACAAGUGCUAGUUGAAUAAGCUGGCACCUUGACGGUACCUAACCAGAAAGCCACGGCUAACUACGUGCCAGCCGCCGCCGUAA
rnacentral:rRNA from 1 species